rnacentral:rRNA from 1 species
GACGAACGCUGGCGGCGUGCCUAACACAUGCAAGUCGAGCGAGUGAAUCUCCUUCGGGAGUGAAGCUAGCGGCGGACGGGUGAGUAACACGUGCGCAACCUGCCUCAUAGAGGGGAAUAGCCUUUCGAAAGGAAGAUUAAUACCGCAUAAGAUUGUAGCUCGCAUGAAGUAGCAAUUAAAGGAGCAAUCCGCGAUGAGAUGGGCCCGCGGCGCAUUAGCUAGUUGGUGAGGUAACGGCUCACCAAGGCGACGAUGCGUAGCCGACCUGAGAGGGUGAUCGGGCACAUUGGGACUGAGACACGGCCCAGACUCCUACGGGAGGCAGCAGUGGGGAAUAUUGCACAAUGGGGGAAACCCUGAGGCAGCAACGCCGCGUGAGUGAUGACGGCCUUCGGGUUGUAAAGCUCUGUCUUCAGGGACGAUAAUGACGGUACCUGAGGAGGAAGCCACGGCUAACUACGUGCCAGCAGCCGCGGUAA